rnacentral:rRNA from 1 species
AUUGAGCGCUGGCGGCAGGCCUAACACAUGCAAGUCGAGCGGAUGAAGGGAGCUUGCUCCUGGAUUCAGCGGCGGACGGGUGAGUAAUGCCUAGGAAUCUGCCUGGUAGUGGGGGAUAACGUCCGGAAACGGGCGCUAAUACCGCAUACGUCCUGAGGGAGAAAGUGGGGGAUCUUCGGACCUCACGCUAUCAGAUGAGCCUAGGUCGGAUUAGCCAGUUGGUGGGGUAAAGGCCUACCAAGGCGACGAUCCGUAACUGGUCUGAGAGGAUGAUCAGUCACACUGGAACUGAGACACGGUCCAGACUCCUACGGGAGGCAGCAGUGGGGAAUAUUGGACAAUGGGCGAAAGCCUGAUCCAGCCAUGCCGCGUGUGUGAAGAAGGUCUUCGGAUUGUAAAGCACUUUAAGUUGGGAGGAAGGGCAGUAAGUUAAUACCUUGCUGUUUUGACGUUACCAACAGAAUAAGCACCGGCUAACUUCGUG